CAGCAGCCGCGGUAAUACGUAGGUGGCAAGCGUUGUCCGGAAUUAUUGGGCGUAAAGGGCUCGCAGGCGGUUUCUUAAGUCUGAUGUGAAAGCCCCCGGCUCAACCGGGGAGGGUCAUUGGAAACUGGGAAACUUGAGUGCAGAAGAGGAGGGUGGAAUUCCACGUGUAGCGGUGAAAUGCGUAGAGAUGUGGAGGAACACCAGUGGCGAAGGCGACUCUCUGGUCUGUAACUGACGCUGAGGAGCGAAAGCGUGGGGAGCGAACAGGAUUAGAUACCCCAGUAGUCCCUGUCUCUUAUAA
rnacentral:rRNA from 1 species